AAAAUACUCCCCCCGUUCCGAAUUACUUGUCGCAGAAAUGGAUGUAUUUAGAACUAAAAAAUGUCUAGAUACAUCCAUUUCUACGACAAGUAAUUCCGAAUGGAGGGAGUAGGAA
rnacentral:pre_miRNA from 1 species